rnacentral:pre_miRNA from 1 species
CAUGACACCUACUCGCUCGACGUCGUAUCGCUGAAACGACCGGGUGGUGAGGUGGCAUACC